rnacentral:lncRNA from 1 species
AAGAAGAUAUAUAGAUAUAAUAUAUAUAUAUAUAUAUUAUAUAUACCCAGCUUGGAGAAUUGACGGAAGGACCAUCCCAUCCAAUAUGAGCAACAUGUUUCACAUCUGUUGGAAACCCAAUCUGCAUUUCAGGUUCUUUCUCAUUAUCUGCAUCCAAGUAUUAAAUCUUAAGUUUAAUUUUAAUUUUAGUUUUAGUUUUGUUAUAGAAAGAAAAAAGGGUUGUUGUUGGGUAUGUAUGAUUUAGCAUACCAAAUAUUUGAGAAAUGUAUCUGAGGCCUUUCAGAAGGCCUUUCAUUUUAUUAUUAGACAUUUUUUUCUCCCUUCUGGAUUGAAAAAUGAAGUAAUUGUGAGAUUUUGUUGAACUUUGCUUUUGGGGAAGAAGAUUGUGUUGGAAUUCAAAUCCAAGCUUUGAGGAGAGGUUCAAAACUGAGCCAAAAAAAAAGAAAAAACUUCAUUAAUUAGGUAUAAAUAUAUAUAUAUAUUAAAAGAAAAGGAAAAAGAAAAAUAUUACCUUUUAAAAUGAAACCCUAAAUGGAGGGGGAAAAGAGGGAAAAGAAGGUGGAAAGAAGCCAUAGAGAAAAAUCAAAAGAACAUUAGGAGAGAAAUGGUUUGAGAAGAAGAAGAAGAAGAAGAAGAAGAAAGGGAAAGAAGGAAGAGGUUCAAAGAAAGAAAAAUUAAUGACCGAACAAAUGCUAAUUAAUUAUAAUUAACAAAACAAAAAAUAUUAAUUAAACUCUUCAAAAAAAAAAAAAAAAAGAAGAAGAAAAAGAAGAAGAAGAAGAAUCGUUGAUUUCGUUGAUUUUGGUGGCUUUCAAUUUGUUUGUUGCAUUUUCUUUUCUCUGCUCAUCCACUUUUGGCCACAAAUGGUAUCGAAAUUUUAGCUCUCAAAUUAUGGGAAUUUCUUGUUUCUUCUUUGCUUUUUGUUGAAAAAUAAAUUUGUACUCAUAAAAACUAAAAUUAGGAAUUUUUUUGACAGGUCUUCCACUUCUGUCAAAAGUUGUUCAUAGAUUUUUUAUUUUAUUUUAUAAAAUAAUUGUGUUUAAUGUUUGUAGACUAUCUUUGAAGGUAGAAAUUUGUUGGACGAAAUUUAGGAAUUAGAAUAGCAUGGUGAUGCCACGUAUGAGAAUGUUGGGACGUGAUCAUGUUCGUUCAAGGUCACCAUGAUUUCCAUAAUGGAUUUUUUCCUCAAAUCCAUUUUAAAUCACUUUGACUUCAUUUCAAUUUUCACCUUCCACUGUUUUCUUUGCUACAUGACUUGUGAGUGUUUCUUAUAAGGUAAAUGAAUAUUUUACAGUAACUUUAUUUCCUUUCUUGAAUAUAUAAUCCACCAAAACAUCAUCAAACACCCUCUAUAUCUCCCUGUGCAUUCUGUGUCAUUUUUUUCAUACAACCAUACUUUGGUGUUCAUUUUUGUCUCUUCCCCCAAUUUCCAAUUUUAUGAAGAGGUUGAUUUAUUUUAAUAAAUCAAGUCAAAUGUUAAUGCCUUUCAUAUGAAUAUCCUACAAGACAGGUUUUCAGCAUUCUUAUGAUCCUUAAUACAAAAUCUUGAUUACAUAUGUGCAGUAUGCUAUUUUCCUUAGCUUCUAGUAACACAUAAAAUUUCAUUAACCAAACUGUAAAAUUUAUAAUAUACAUUCGUUUCUUUUUGUCUAAAUAAAUCUAUUGCCUUUCAUGGUAAGAUAAAUCAUACAAGUGUGCAUUUCUUUUUGUCUAAAUAAAUCCAUUUCCUUUCAUGGUAAGAUAAAUCAUACAAGUGUGCAUCCUUAAACUUCAUGUUUACAUAACAUGACGCAUGGAACAAUUGUAAAUAUAAGAUUCAAAUCUAAAAUAUUAACUAAUACAGAGGAAAAAAAUUGAACUCAUAGCAAUCACCCGCAAAACAAAACUGGAAAGGUACAACAUAUUAAUGAAUACCUUUAUAUUUAAUAUUUCUCAAAGUGUAGCAAUUUUUUAUAAUGAAUCUACAAUAAACAAUAUGAAAUUUAAUUUGAAGAUAAAGAUGUAGGAAUUCAAAUCAUGGAAAAUCAAUGGGGGAUUUUUCAAUUGAAAAUCUCAAGAAAGGUCUGUUUCCCAAUAUUACAUAGGUUUUUCCAACCCUAUAAAAUUGAGAGAGAAAACAACAACAACAAUAAUAAUAUAAUAAACAAAAAAAGAAAAAAAGAAAAAGAGAGAAACAUUUAAGGAAUAGAAAUUUUAAGGGAUUGAAAAUCUUGUUUUCCAGCCAAGUGGGUGCAAAACAGAGAUUUUUUGUUGAUGAAUAAUAUUUAUAAAAGCACACUACUAAUAAACUAUAAAAACGACCGAUGGAUGGGUCUUUAAAAUAGGAAGAAGAGCAUGAAAGGAAAUACAGUUAUUAUUACAGCUACUUGAGUCACACAAGUAGAAUUGUUUAGUGUGAAUCUCUGCAUCUCGAGCGGCAUCAAUAAACAUAGAUGACGACCGCAAACGCUUCUGAGGGGAAAGGUUGCAAAGACAAUCCUGGAUUUUCUUUUCUUUCUUUCUUUCUUUCUUUCUUCUUUCUUUUUUUUUUUUUUUUUUUUUUUUUCCAUUUAAGAUUGUGUCAACUGACCUGUAAUAUUUGUUUGCAGUCGGGUUGGGGGAUGUCCCAUGUACAAGAGAGAAUUAAGAUGCAAAUAAUCGCAGAUGGGAGGGCUUUAUCCCUCUGAUGCGUAUGCCAAAUACCCUAAUGAGAAAAACCUUCUUGUUAUUAGUUUUUACUUCCUGAUUGAUAGAAGUU